AGAAGAUUUAAUCAAUCUGGCACAUCUAAUAGAAUUGUGGAAAGCUGGGAUCUCACACGCAUCUUUCAUAUUAGCAUGUGCAGCUACAUGUGGACGGGCAUGGCUCCAACUUGAAAAGCAGAACUGCCGAGAUGCUCACAAGUCAAGAAAUCAAGUGCAUGAAGAUUCAAGUACUAGAAAUCAAGUGAUGCUAGCAAUGAUCUACAGAUUUUCAAUGCUGAGAACUUACAGAGCAACAGUAAAAUCUACUACAGGUUUGUUUUCACAACCAAAUUUAGGUGGAUUCCCUU